UACAGAGGUCUCAAGCGUUGUUCGGAUUCAUUGGGCGUAAAGGGUGCGUAGGCGGUCCGAUAAGUCGGCUGUGAAAGUCAAGGGCUCAACCCUUGAAAGCCGGCCGAUACUGUCGGACUAGAGUCCGGAAGGGGCGAGUGGAAUUCCUGGUGUAGCGGUGAAAUGCGCAGAUAUCGGGAGGAACACCAAUUGCGAAGGCAGCUUGCUGGGACGGUACUGACGCUGAGACGCGAAAGCGUGGGGAGCGAACAGG
rnacentral:rRNA from 1 species